AGCCUCCAGGUAAAAGAACUGCCAUUUUUGUUGCCUGUUCUGAUCACGUAUAAAUAUGAAGGAUCUGCUGUGUCUCUACAAAGCAAUGAUGAGAGAACCAUCACCGGACUGAGGCUUUGUGAUGUGUCCUGCCAGGCGCUCUGUUUUAUCAUUGCUACUCUUCACAGCUACGGGAUAAAAACCCGAGAACCCUGGACCAGGACUAAGCAAAACUGAGAGAAGUCUAACACAGGAAUCUUCCUGCAAAAAGAGUGGAGGUGCAUGUACCUACAUACACAUACUGAGAUCAGUAAGAAUAACUUAGAAUCAUGGACUUUGAGAAGCAGAAAGGACUGUGGUGAGCACUGUACAACUGGAGAGACUGAACGACCUGCUACGCUAAAAAGAUGGCAAAAUAGGUCUCCAUUUGGAUUCAACAGACAGUCCUUCCCCGGAGUGGAGCACGUCCCUGGC